rnacentral:rRNA from 1 species
GUGCACCAGUCGCGAAACUCCGCAAUACACGAAAGUGUGACGGGCCAUCCCGAGUGCCGUCCGCUGAGGACGGCUUUCCCCAGUGUACACAGCUGGGGGAAUAAGGAGAGGGCAAGCCUGGUGUCAGCCGCCGCGGUAAUACCAGCUCUCCGAGUGGUGGGGACGCUUAUUGGGCCUAAAGCAUCCGUAGCCGGCUGGGCAAGUCCUCCGUUAAAUCCAACGAUUCAAUCGUUGGGCUGCGGGGGAUACUGUCCAGCUUGGGGGCGGGAGAGGCCGACGGUAUUCCCGGGGUAGGGGUGAAAUCCUAUAAUCCCGGGAGGACCACCAGUGGCGAAGGCUGUCGGCUAGAACGCGCCCGACGGUGAGGGAUGAAAGCUGGGGGAGCGAACCGGAUUAGAUA